AAUUUUGUUUUGAAUUGUGAUUGCUAUUUUUUAUUUUUAUACUUGAUAUUGUUAAAUUAUAUAUAUAAUAUUAUUAAAAAUUAUUAAUUUAUAUUUUAUAAAAUAUUAAUAAUAUUAUAAUUUUAUAAAAAUUUUUAGUUGGCGGGACGGAUUCGGAGCGCUGGCGGGAAGGGGGUUACGAGGCGGGGCGGAUUAUGGGAUGUAUUUUUUAACCCGUCACGGAUUCGGGG
rnacentral:lncRNA from 1 species